AGAAAAUAAACACAAGCACACCCAUCACAUCUGGAGAGCAGCGUUGCUGAACAUUGAUCACUGCUCAACAAAGAUGCCUUCAGGCCAUUGGAAGUGCGUCAUCACAGUCAGCAGAAAGUGUGAGUAACGCCAGUAACCGAUGCCAAUCCCUGUUUUUCUCACUCCAGCAGAGGUGGAGAUUACUAUGUUACCAGACACAGUUUUUCUUCUUCCUCCUUUUCAUGAUAAAUGCCCUCUCGCCCUGCCACCAAACCGCUCUAUUUUUAGCUCUGAUGUCAAAGAGGCCUGCAAGAAUCUCUGUGGGCCGCGAUUCACAUGAACGAUGAAAUCAUCACAAAGUACAGUCUCUCUUUUUCACCCCUGCGCUGCGAAAGGAGUGUGUGAAAUGGAAAUGAGUGUUGCUUUUUUGUCCUCGUGACACGAGAAACUAGGCGCUCUUGUGAACGAUGGAACGCCAUCAGAUCCGCCGAAAAACUGGAGCGCCGAUGGAGGGAGGGAGCGAGAAGAGAACAAAAACAACUCAGAGGACCAAAACAGAUUUUGACAAGAGAGAGGGGAAAGAGAAGCAGACAGGCCAGUCUUUUGUGUGGCAGACAGACUUGUUUAGGACGAGGAGGAUUUGAUCAGCUGAUAACGUGAGUGACUAUUUGCACUGGCUGAUCUGGGCUCUGAGUUUCUGCAUCAGACGCAGUAGAAAGUGUGCAUGGUAAACAGAGCUGCGGUCCAGCGUCAGCAUCCCGUGGCUCAUUGUAUCCACAUCCUGCUCUAUACAAUCCCAGACGAUAUCGCCGAGGUAUGCGCUGGACUGCGGCCCAGAGCGAAAGCUAUGCACAUCCUCUCCCAUUCCUAAACAAAGAAAAAUGUUAAUAACAGACCUUGCUUGGACACUUAAGAACACGGGAAUGAACUUUCUUUCAUUGUUGUUUGUGCACAUCUGGAUUUCGGUAGGAAAGGCUGUGUGGCGUCUCCUCCUCUGCUGGCAGUCGGGCUCAAGUUUGUGGGAUGAAAAUAAUCCGGUGUCAUCCAGUGCAGGCCGUGGCCGAGUCAGAGAGGAUACGCGGUGCUGGGUGGAUUCACUGGAUGCUUGAGCUCAGCAGGAGCUUUGCCAGGAGAGCGUGUGUGUGGAAGAAGCUGUGGUUGCACUCUUGUGGUUGUGUAUAUGUGUGUUGGCUCUUGCUAAAAGCAUUCUGUGUCUGCGCAUUUAUGAGCGGCUUAGUGGCAAAUUGUCGAAAAAUUAAGCUUUGUGAUUUUAAAUACACAUAUGUUAAGGUACAAUAAAAUAUUAGCAUGCAUUAAAUUGGCACAUGUUUUAAAUAAACUUUUAAGGGAAC
ensembl:lncRNA